rnacentral:rRNA from 1 species
AUUGAACGCUGGCGGCAGGCCUAACACAUGCAAGUCGAGCGGAUGAAGGGAGCUUGCUCCUAGAUUCAGCGGCGGACGGGUGAGUAAUGCCUAGGAAUCUGCCUGGUAGUGGGGGAUAACGUCCGGAAACGGGCGCUAAUACCGCAUACGUCCUGAGGGAGAAAGUGGGAGAUCUUCGGACCUCACGCUAUCAGAUGAGCCUAGGUCGGAUUAGCUAGUUGGUGGGGUAAAGGCCUACCAAGGCGACGAUCCGUAACUGGUCUGAGAGGAUGAUCAGUCACACUGGAACUGAGACACGGUCCAGACUCCUACGGGAGGCAGCAGUGGGGAAUAUUGGACAAUGGGCGAAAGCCUGAUCCAGCCAUGCCGCGUGUGUGAAGAAGGUCUUCGGAUUGUAAAGCACUUUAAGUUGGGAGGAAGGGCAGUAAGUUAAUACCUUGCUGUUUUGACGUUACCAACAGAAUAAGCACCGGCUAACUUCGUG